CUAUACAUGCAAGUCGAGCGAGCCGAACUAAUUGAUUACCUUCGGGUAUGAAGUUAGGGAAGCGAGCGGCGGAUGGGUGAGUAACACGUGGGUAACCUACCCUAUAGUCUGGGAUACCACUUGGAAACAGGUGCUAAUACCGGAUAAAAGGAGAGAUCACAUGAUUUCUUUUUGAAAGGCGGCGUAAGCUGUCGCUAAAGGAUGGACCCGCGGUGCAUUAGCUAGUUGGUAAGGUAACGGCUUACCAAGGCAACGAUGCAUAGCCGAGUUGAGAGACUGAUCGGCCACAUUGGGACUGAGACACGGCCCAAACUCCUACGGGAGGCAGCAGUAGGGAAUCUUCCACAAUGGACGCAGGUCUGAUGGAGCAACGCCGCGUGAGUGAAGAAGGUUUUCGGAUCGUAAAGCUCUGUUGUUGGUGAAGAAAGAUAGUGAGAGUAACUGCUCAUUAUUUGCCGGUAAUCAACCAGAAAGUCACGGCUAACUACGUGCCAGCAGCCGCGGUAAUACGUAGGUGGCAAGCGUUGUCCGGAUUUAUUGGGCGUAAAGCGAGCGCAGGCGGAAAGAUAAGUCAGAUGUGAAAGCCCUCGGCUUAACCGAGGAAUAGCAUCGGAAACUGUCUUUCUUGAGUGCAGAAGAGGAGAGUGGAACUCCAUGUGUAGCGGUGGAAUGCGUAGAUAUAUGGAAGAACACCAGUGGCGAAGGCGGCUCUCUGGUCUGUAACUGACGCUGAGGCU
rnacentral:rRNA from 1 species